UACGGAGGGUGCGAGCGUUGUUCGGAAUCACUGGGCGUAAAGGGCGUGUAGGCGGUCCGCUAAGUCUGAUGUGAAAGCCCGGGGCUCACCCCCGGAAGUGCAUUGGAUACUGGCGAGCUAGAGUGCGGUAGAGGAUGGCGGAAUUCCCGGUGUAGCAGUGAAAUGCGUAGAGAUCGGGAGGAACAUCUGUGGCGAAGGCGGCCAUCUGGACCAGCACUGACACUGAGGAGCGAAAGCCAGGGGAGCAAACGGG
rnacentral:rRNA from 1 species